UCGGCUCCGCGCCGCCCGCCCCCGCGCUCGCCCCCACGCUCCCGGCUCCGCUUCCGUCGUUCGCCGCCGCCGCCGCUGCCGCCGCUCCGGUGCUUGUGUUUCUUGUGCUCCCGGUGCCGCGGCGGCUGCUCGGUGGUGCCCCCGGUGCCGGCCGCCGCUGUCGUCCCGGCCGCCUCCUUCUCGCCGCGGUGCUUUUUUGACGACCCCAUAGUGGCACGUCCGCCCCGAGCCCGGCCGCCGCCGAGUCUCAACGACGCAAAAAGGGAACACUUCCGGGUCGCCCGGCAGCCGCGGCCGUGUUGCCGGAAACCAAGAGCGGCUGCUUCCGUCGGUCGCCUCGGAGGCUGCCCCAGAGGCUCUCGGGAAGGCCGGGCUCCAAGCCCGACGGCUCCCCCGGCGGCCGACUGGGGCGUUUCCGCAGCUUGUCUGACUGCGCAUGCGCUCCUCUAAGUGCGCGAACCUCGUCGGCGAGGGACCAAAUCCAGAACCUUACAUAAGGACCUAGAACAGCCUUCGUCCCCGGAGCUGGACGUCCCUCUAGGCUUCUGUCAGCUUGCACACCCCCAGCCACGCGGCGCUCACUGCCUCACGACCUUUCCGUGGACAGCUGCCACCGCUGUAAUUGGGGUCCAGCCAGCGGACUCCAUCAGAUGCUGAGCGGUGUAGCAAGUUCUACCCCGGACCCCCAGCUCCGCAGCCGUCUCCGUGCUCCAGGAGGCACUGAGCAGCCAUCGCUGACUUCCGACGUUCCCUGGAUUAAGUGUUUCAACCUGUUCAACCUGGGGUCUGUGAACUGCCAAGAGGCUCCAGGGACUGGACUCCAGAUCCAAGCUGGGAGCAGAGGACCAGUCAGGCUGGCUGCUGGUGUGUCCGGCUUCUAUCCUCAAGGGGCUCUGAGAAGAGGGCUGUCUUCUCAGCCCUGUUGAUCUGUGGCUCCUUAAAGACAAGGACACAGAUAGAGGCCCCUGGACUCUGCAGCUCCACCUCCAGCCCCACCCCUGGGCUCUAGGAGGGGAAAGGCCAUAUGUCUGAUAACGUGUGUUCAAAUCCUGUCUUCUGUGCUGACUUGCUGUGUGACCCUGGGCGAGGGACUUCCCCUCCCCGAGCCUGUUUCCUUAUUGUGAAGUGGACCUCGGGAGCCCUGCUUUGCAGUACAUUAUUCCAAGGAGUAAGGGAUGGUAUGCAUAGGAAAAGCAGGGUGGUGCCAACCCGGUAAGGAGGGCAUGGGGAGUGGCUGCACAGAUGGCCGCAGGGACCCAGACUAGCUCUGCUGCUGAUUUGGUGCUGGGUCUUGGAUUCUCAGUUUCCUUGCUGAGAAACGGUGAGAAUAACCCUGGCCUCUCCCUCCUUGGGGGACGUGGAGGACAGCUGGGCCUGGGGAGGACCCUGCUGAUUGCUAGGGCCAGGCUGGGUCCUUCAGGCUGGGGAAUAGGGGGCAGGGCAGGCCUGAAGCACCGUGAUCGGUGAUCCUCCCCCAUUCCCCGCAGCCAGCCUCACCUGGGUUUCCUGCAGGUGCCUUCCGUGUCCCCCUUGCCCGCCUCGGCCAGCAGCCACUCCUCAUCCAGGCCCAGCGCUGACAGCACCUGGGAGAAGCGACGGCUCACUGUGAGCCGGGCAUUGGCCUAGGAGAGAGGAAAGAGGUUGCUGCCAAGGAGGUGGGAGGGCUCUGGUCACCUUGGGGUGGCCCACUCCCCCCUUCCGUCCCCACUCAGCCAGGGAGAAGCUCUGUCUUCAGGGGGCGUCCCUCACCUGCAUGGCCUGCUGGAACAGGUAGGGCCGGGCCUGCACCCUGUGCUGGAUGCCCUGCAGCUCCGCCUGGUACUCAGCAAAGCGCUGUCGCUCCUGGCGCCUGCACGGGAGAGGCCUCUGGGCAGCUAACCUGCCCCCAGGUCCCCAGCCCUCUGGACACAACCCAUCCCUACUCCUGAGCCUGCUCAUCCUCACUAAGGACUUUAUGUGCUCCCCACCUUUCCUUCAUUCCUACCCUCGCCCUGGAUUCCUCGGGAGAUCAGCAGGAUGGGAAUUGUUCACCCCAUUUUACUCGUGAUGAGCCUGAAGUUCAGGAGAGUCGAGAGUUCUGUCCAGGGUUGCACAGCUGGGAAAUCGGGGACUCCCAGGCACCCCACCAAGGGAGAGGAGCCAGCGCUGCUUCUGAGCCCCUGGAUGUCUGCUUGCACAGCCUCUCCUCUGCCCGCAGCCCCAUCCCUGCACCUCACACUCGGCCCUGAGAAGGAGGUUGGCUGUGUGACUUUGAACAAGGCAAUGCCCCUGUCUGGGCUCGGUUUCCUUUCACUGGGCUAUUGCGGGGACUGGACGUGCUCACCAGCAUUCUCUGUGAUUCUUAUAAACAGGCUGUUCAGAAAAGGAGACACAGAACUAGAGAGAUGUUUUGCAAAGGAAAGAGCACAUCCCAGAAAACUUAGGAUUCUCCUGGGGAAGCACAAUUCUAUUUACAAAAACCCAGUUUAUGCACUUCCCAGAUUCUGCUCAGCAAACUGAGCAGCAGUGCCUUGCAUGAAGAGAGCAUCCUGGCAGCAAGAGGGGUCCUCUGGCCACAGCAUAUGUGGGGCAAGUGGCCCUUUGCAAAGCACAUAGGAGAGGUCACCUGGGUGGGGGGAGCACCCAGAGAGAGCACAGGAGGGGAGAAGCAGCAGAACCCAAGGCUUGUGCUGAGACCUCUGGCAAGUGUGCUGGACCCCUUGGAAAAAUGCUGCCUUCUUGGGCCAGAACCCUUGGCCAUGUGCCAAGCAAGGAACCUUCCUCCUUCCAAGAGAAAAGAAAUGGACUUGAAAACCCCAUCAUCAGGAACAUAAGUUACUGCAAAAAAAAAAAAAAAAAAAA